rnacentral:rRNA from 1 species
CAUCGAGUUUUUGAACGCAAGUUGCGCCCGAAGCCUUYGGCUGAGGGCACGUCUGCCUGGGCG